rnacentral:lncRNA from 1 species
ACAAUAAUAUUUCCCAAUCUCUGGUACAUCUUCGGAAUUCUAAACCAUCUAUGAUGGACUUGGAGGAAUGGAGAAUCCCUACUGACUUCUGCUAAGAGGUCUCUUGCCGUGCCUGCCACUUAAUAAAAUGCUUGUGGACAUUAAAUGUGGUAGCUACGUAUGUGCUUAUUAGGUUAGAGGGCAGAUGUGUUGGAUCCACAGAAAUGAGGUGAAAAUAACAAGAUGGUGAUAACAUUGGCAUUUAAAUAGAACUCCAAAUUGGCAAAUUGUUUAACAUUAUCUCCAAACAAUGAUCUCCCAGCAAUUCUUUAAAGCAGAUUUUAUAGGAAUUAUUGCCAUCUUUCAGAAGGAAACAUGGAAACUCUGCAUUCAAGCAAUUUGUCCAAAGGUACACAGCUAGUCACUGACAGAGCCAGCGUUUGAGCCCAGACUUCUGUGAUUCCCUCUCCACUCUUUGAAAUCCCAAGAAAAGAAUUCUCUUUGGUUUUGUGUGUUCUUAUAAUUCAUACUAUCAAAAUAUUCAUAGCACCAAAAAAAAUAGAACCAGACUUCUAUCCUGUUAGACUUAAAGAGAUCUUAGAGAUCGCCUAAAAUGGUCCAAAAAGACUGCCGGGGUAAAGGAAGAAUAACAAUGCUAGCAAACUGUGUUUGUGAUUCACUAAACUACACACUGAAUGCCACGGAGGUGUCCUCACUUACAUCAGCUUUCUCCUUGCUAGUAACAUUUUCUUUAAUGCCAAGUAACAAAGAGAACACCCCAGGUGUGAUGGCGUGUUUCACCAGGGAGAGAAGAGAAUCCUCAGCAGCCAGUCAAGACUACCUACUGUUUGUGAGAGCUGUGCAGCCUGACAGCCUUGUCACAAUAAACCUCAGAACUUCAGGGAUUACUGGGGAUGCCAGGAGUACAGGUAAUAUAGUGUUUCUGAUGUCAUCAGACUUGGAAGAGAAAAAAGAACAUGAAAUCAAACUAAUGAAACUUGAAAAAAAUAAUAAAGGUUUCUACUAUGUCCUUUGCCAAAAUUUUCACUUUAAAUAUUCAUUUUUAAAAGAAAGAAAAAGGACAGAAAAGAGGGAAAGAACAGAAAAAAAGACAAGUAAAGACUGAAAAAGCAAAAACAGAUUAGAAAAGAAUUUUUAAAAUAAUUUUUAUUUCAUUGUGGGAAUGACUUUUCAAAGAAUUGCUUGUAAGAGUUUUAGAAUGCAUUUUGUUUAUAAAAUGAAUUUGGAGUGUAAAUAAAAAUCUAAAAAAAAAAGGUUUUUAAUCUCUU